rnacentral:lncRNA from 1 species
GGGAUAUGAAUUGCGAAUAUGUUUAAAAAACUGACACACUUCACAUUGAAAUGAAUUUAGAUUUUUAUUUCUGCAUAAAGUAGAAAAUAGUUAUUUCAAAUACAUAAAGUUCGAAUGUCCUAAUUUAUAAUGCCAUAACAUAAUAUAUUGUUCAAUACUAGAACAUCCUACAGAUACGGAAUUCGUACAUACUGCACUUGUAGUUUGUUCAUUUGGAGGCGAUGUUGUGAUUGGUAGAAGAUAAAGUCUUGAUUCCUUCUUAGCAAUGUCAAUCAUCUUUCUCGAGUCCAAAUCCUGAAAAAUACAUAUCCAUUUGUCAAAUUUAGCCACACAGUUCAAGUUUUUAUAUAAUUUGCUUAUACAUAGUAGAUUGCAAUCCAAAUUUAGCACGUAGAGAACGGAAUGUAGAACCAAAUUCGGUGAUAUAUAGGUUGAGCAAAUUCUUGCCAUUUUAGAACUUGUUCCAUUAGCGAUCUUAAUAGAAAAAAUUUUCUUACACUCACUGUACUGAUGAAGGAGUGUAAUAUCUCCAAUCAUAUAGUCAGAUGUCCCUAAAUCAAUAAUCCACAUUUGCCUUUUCACAAAAUAUGUAGAUAAACUGAGUAAGCAAUUACCUUUCUAAACAACUGAAGCAUUACCAAGUAGGCCCUUCUGAGAAAACAUUUGCAAGAGAGCCUCCAUCUGAGCUAGACUGAAGGGAGCUGUUUCUGUGGAUGUGGGGGCAGAGGAUAAUUCCUCAGAAAUUACCAUUUUGCCCUCAGCUCUUGAAUGCUUUUUCUCAGCUAGUUUGCCAUGUAAUUUCCAGCACUUCUCACGGGUAUGACCGGGUUUUUUACAAAACUCACACCUUGGUCUCCCAUUUCUUCCUCUAGCUUCCGAAAUGCGACCCACAAAGGCAAAGAUGUGCUAGGAGGCAAGAGCACUAUUCUGGGAUUCGCCCGAGAGGAUUUCUUCUGAGCAGCAAGUGCAGAACCCAUUUCUACGGUGUUCGGGCCAAACUCUCCCAUCAUGAUUUUCUUCCUACUCUCUUCUUGACGGAUUUUCGAAAAAAUUUCUCUAAGAUUCCACAGCGGUUUGGUGCUUAGAACGUGUCCACGAAUUUCAUCAAGAUUUUUGUUGAUACUCAUUAGAAAUUUGAAAACCUUUUUUCGUUCAGUGAUGGUUUUGAAAAUUUUAGAAUCGUCGGGAUAGCUCCAUUGAUGUUCUUCGAAGACAUUGAGCUAUUGCCAGUUGUGGGUGAGGGCAUUGUAGUAUUGAGUGAUAUAGAGCUCCCCCUGUUGCAAGUCAUGAAGGUGGCUUUGGAUUUCGAAGAUUACUGAAGUGUUAUCAUGAUUGGAAUAGAACUCGUAGGCAACAACCUAAAUAUCGUGUGCGGUCUCAUAAAGCAGAAGGUUUUUUCCAAUUUCUGUUGUCAUGAAAUUCACUAGCCAUGACAUUACGAGAUUAUUUUUGACUUUUCACGUAUGAGCGCUCGGGUCGUUUGUUGGAGGUGGAACGAUUUCUCCAGUCAGGUACUCGUCUGUUCCCUUUCUGUGCAUGAACAUCAGAACAAAGGAGGAUCACUGGAGAUAGCUGCUUCUAUUCAACCUAUGUCUAAUGACGAACGAUGGUGCCUGAUCAACUUGAGAGUUGUUGACUGACAUUGGAAGAUAGGAUCCUGAAAGAACUUCAAGUGGAGAGGAGGUUUGCUCAUCCGUGGCCAUUUGGCUUGAUUUGGAUGAUGAAUGUGGAUUAGACUGGCUCUGAUGUCAUGAAGAAGAUUGAGAGUUUGGGAGAAGAGAAGAAUCUUCUGUUAUUAUUAUUGGGCACAAAGAUGCCAAUUUAUAGGCAUUCGACUAGAACAAACAAAAGAGGUUGUGGAAAAUAUUCAGCUUAACGGGGUGCAAUGGUAGUGGGCAUUUCCCAGCUGACAUAACAACUUAGUAAAAUACUAAUUUAUCCCUUAGUGUAUUUACAUUUCUACAUAUAUACAUUUCUACAAUAAGCAAAUUCACACGGGGAAAGGUACUCAUACCAAUUAUCUUCAAAGUCGAGGACACAAGCGCACAACAUAUCUUCAAAUGUCUGUAUUGUGCAUUCAGACUGACUAUCGGUUUGAGAAUGAUAGGCAGUGCUAAAGUACAAUCCCAAACCAAGCGUUUAUUGAGAACUGUCCCAGAAAUGAGAGGUGAAUCAAGGAUCUCUAUCUGAUACAAUGGAUGAGCGAACGCCGUAGAGUCGAACAAUCUCCUCGACGUAUAGCCAGGCUAACCUGUUAGUGGAAUCUAUGGUUCUGAUUAGCAGGAAAUGAAUGGUCUUCGUCAAUCAGUCAACAAUGACCCAUAUUGUGUUACGAUCGAAACAAGUUCUGGACAAACCGGUAACAAAGUCCAUGGUCACAUGCUUUCACUUCUAUCCCGAAAUAGGGAGGCCUUGCCAUAAAUUGCCAGAUCUCUAGUGUUUAGCCUUAACUCAUUGGCAAGUAAGGCAUCGGGAGAGAUAAUAGACAAUGUCUUUCUUCAUUUUAGGCCACCAGUAUUGAUGCUUCAAGUUCCGGUACAUCUUCAUACUUUCGAGGUGGAUGGAUAAUUUAAAGGCAUGAACAACCUUAAGAACAUCUGUCCUGAUAGUAGCAGGGACCAAUUACGAUUCCGGAAUCGGCACAAUUCAUCAUUUGUGAGUCUGAAAUCAUAAAAUUCGUCAUACGUAAAUUUACUCAUAUUUUUUGUUAUCUAUGAGUCGGUGGAUUGAGCUUCCGAAAUCUUCAUGAAAAAAUCAGACAAACCUCAGAUCUGAGCGAGGUAGGCACCAUUGCCGUAAUGGUUAAGGCAGAGUGCUUGUAUAACGUCAAAUAGUUUCCAAUUGGAGGCCAUUGUCUUGGUCAACAAAGCGGACUCGUUCCAUUUUAGAACAUCAGCAACUACAUUACCUCUAUCGGGGUGAUAGAUGAUCUUGCAGUUGUAAUUCUUCAGAAAGUCCAUCCAACGUCUCUGUUUUAUAUUCAAUUCUCUCUGUAAAAAUAUAUAUUUCAAACUUUUAUAAUUAGUAUAGAUUUCAAAUGUCUGACUAUACAGAUAAUGACACCAUAUCUUAAAGGCAAAGAUUAUAACCGCCAAUUCCAGCUCAUGAGUGGGGUAAUUACAUUCAUGGGGCUGCAAUUGUCUGGAUCCGUAAGCAACUACUCGACCGUGCUGUAUCAAAUAAUAGAAAUAAGACCCUGAAUAAGAGCAGGAGUGGUGAGGGCACCGGGUUUAUCAAGGGGAUACACAUGACCCUGGGCUACUGGUGGCCAUGUCCUUUGGUUGCUGGAGACAGUUUUUCACAAAGUACUGAGUGCUUCCGCAAUUAUAGCAUGCGUUGUUCAAACGCCAGCUGGGCUGAUCACCAUGCAAGCGUCCACAAUGCUGACAUGGUUGGGUAGGGCGCGUAGGGAGUCCAGUAGGUGGAAGCAAAGCAUGAGGGGUAACUCAGGGUAGUUUAUUAUGAUGAUUAUUAACUGGAUCGGACAGUCUUCUUCUUGUUUGUUGGGUUUGUUGUUGCUGUUGUUGGGUAGGACUCGGGCAAUGCGUUGGUGCCGGGCCGAGAUAAAAUCUUCAUCCAACUGGGCAUGCUUUAGCACCUCGACAUACGAGUUGGGUUUCAGUAUCGCGACCCGAUCGUAGAUAUCAGCACGAAUGCCUUUUAGAAACUUCCUAACCUUACCUCUCAGAGGUGACCAUUAUCAGCACAAAUCUAGACAGUUGAACAAAUUGGGCUGCAUACUGGGCAACCAUCAAAUUUUCCUGAUGGAGGUCCUAAAAUUUCUCUUUCUUCUCCCGGACACAGUCAGGGAAGUAAUUUAAAAAAAAACAUCCAUUAAAACCUCUUAAGUGGUAAAGGUAGGUAAGACUUCCUUCUUAAGCUGCCACCAAUGCUCAGCUUCAGUGGUUAACAUGAAGGUUGCUAGGAAAAAUUUUUGUUUUUCGGUUAAGUUUAAGACAAAGAAAAGCUUCUCUAUCUGCUGGAUCCAAGUUUUGACUAUUAAGGGGUCGGGGCCUCCUUCAAAGUGGGGUGGGUUGAGUUUCUUAAAUUCUGUUAUGUUGUAGGAGAUCGAUCUUUUGGUUGGAUGAUAGUCAAGGGUAAGGGUGUUGGCAAGGAUUUGUUUGGUUUUGGUCUACGUCUGUGGUUAGACCUUGGAUGGCUCGAAAAAGUUCAGUAAACUCGGCCCUGGUCGGAUGAUCUUGAGUCUCAGGUCUCUUGGUUCGCUUUACAGAAGGUUUUUUUCGUGUCAUUUCUACAAAAGAAAAGGAAGACACUAAUUGGUGGUCUAAUUUUCAAAAGAAUACAUGUUCUAAGCAUCCUAGAAGGGUUUUCUAAUUACAACCUCAGUUGUAAGGGAUUAUUUCGCGUAACUACUCUGAUACCAUUUGUAAUAUCCCAAAUGCUCAUUAGAGUAUAAGGGUGUCAAAUACAGAAACAAAUACGAGUGCAUAUAAGAUAAAUGUAUGCAGCAAAAUAAAUAAUUACAAUCUUUUACAAAAUAAUAAUAGUGUUUCAUGCAACAUUGAGACAUAAACAAAAUUAAUUAUAAACUUUUAUAAAAGAUGGACUUAUCAGAGUGCGGAACUAUUAUGUACUCAUAACAAUUCACGGAUCCACGAGAUCCUCAAAGGCUUUAAGGAGUAGAUCAACGAUCGGUUCCUUAUUAUCUUCCUCACUUGGAAGGGUUAUGGAAAAUGGUGAAUUCUAUAUACUCGGUAAGAAAAACAGUAUUUAAAUGACAUCACUAAGAUUUCAAAGAUAAUUAAAAACUGAAAUAAAGUACCAUCAUUACUUAUCAUCAAGAAUCAUGUUAGAAGUCUAUUUAUUAAUUAUGAAAACAAUUUACUUUAUUGAAGAAAACAUCAAAUGCAUAAUAUCAUAGUCAUAUUAUGUCAAUCAAAUUAAUUAUGCUGAAAAUUAAAAAAAAUCAAACAAUCAUGACAUGCUCUUUUUUUCAUUUUAUUCUUCACACAAAGUCGUUCCGACUUUCAUCUACUGAGGGUAAUACGGAUUCUCAACUACCCAUGUGCAAUGACUAAUUUAUUUCAUAUUAUAUCAGCAAUUUACGACUUUUCAAACCAACAGCACAUUUACGGCUUGGCAAACUAUGACACGAUUUAUGUCCACGGUCGUGUCAACUACAGUAGUCUUAUAUGUAAACAAUGGUCAUGACCGUACUUCGCUAAAGGUGAUCCCUACAAUCAUAUCACAUCACCACUCUCGUCAAAUGGUACGCUGUUUUCCAUAGAGAGCGAUCAUCUCACAUCUUUUCAGAUCAGAUGGGGAGAAACAAAAACUCCCCAUAGAUAAAAAAUUUAACGAAAACAUUUUAUGAACCAUGUAUGUCAAUAAUGAUACAUUUUUCGCAUGCUUGUUACUUUAUUAUUGUUUAAUAUAUCAAUGUAUUAACAUUUACCAUAAGUAAAUUAAUCAUUUAGUUAAUCAUACAAAUAAUCAAUUCAUAUAAACAUGCAUGUUUAUUUAAGCACAUAAAUUAAGCAUGCAAUCAUUUAAUUAAAACUUCAUUAAUUUAAUGUAAAAAUACUUUUUAAAAUGUUAAAAGUAAAUAUUAAAUUUUUUACCGAAAUCUUGGAAUUUUCCUACGUUUUUCUUCCCUCUAUUUCUUCCCAUUCUCUCUCUAUAACUCUUUGAUGGAUGGAAGAAUGAAGUGAGAAUGGUGAGGAAAUGGUGAAUAAAGGGUUCCUAUUUAUAAGAAAUGAGGAUUGUUAGAUUUGCGUCAAGUGGCGAAAUUUUACAAAGAGAGAGAAAGUCAAAAUGACUUGAUGCGUUGUGACAACUGACGGAUAUGACUGACGAAUAGACGAUGUGACGGUGGUGCGAAAAUCGGUGGCACGUGAUCCAACUGGCGGCGGAUGUCGCCCAAAGGUGGUGCACAGAGCCAAGGGGGGCGGCACGCACUACCCGAAGUAGCGCACACAGCCGCAGCCUACUGUGCACAUGUAGGCCUUGCGGACGGCGCAAACACAAGGCACGCGUAGCCAUACACCCGUCUACACACGAUGUAACGUGCGCGCAAAACGUGCCUUGUGCCCCGUGCGGAAGGGACGUGCCCGCUAGCGCACGUCCCAUGCUCGCUGCACGCACGCGCAUGCGUGCGACAUUUGGGGCCCACGCGAGCAAUUGGUCUUUCCUACGGGUGUUUCUUGUGGAAUCUUCCACUGUUUUCUCCUCCGUUUUCCCUAAAAUAUUUUUAAGAAAAUUUUAAAAGUAAAUUCUUCACAAUUAACCAAUAAAAUAAAUUUUAAUAAUUAUUUAAACUAAAUAAAUACGAAACUCACAUUAAAUUUUAUUCAGAAAUUAAAGCACAAAAUUUUAAAGAGUUUAAAUGGCCUUAAAAUCCGAAUAAAUAGGGAUUCAUACUACAAAUCAAGUGCGAAGGUUUUCGGGGUGCUACAGCCUCUAAAUCUCCCUGCGAUAAUUUAGCAAUCUCUUUAAUUAAUUGUACAAUUUAAAAGGAGGGAAAUACCUACUAAGGAAUUUUUGUGCACAUGCAUUCCAAGUAGUUAUGGAGAUCGGUGGUAGUGAUUGUAAUCAAUGUUGUGCUUUAUCCUUUAAAGAGAAAGGAAAAAGCCUCAGCCUCUUUGCAUCUUCAGAAACUCUAUUGUACUUGAAAGUAUCACAAAUUUGGAGAAAAUUAGCUAUGUAUUGGUGUAGAUCUUUGCUAGGCAAUCCUCCUAAUUGACAAGUACGAAAUUUGGAAAAAAUUAGCUAUGUGUUGGUGUAGAUCUUUUUUAGGCAAUUCUCUAAAUUGACAAGUACGUUACAUCAACUAUCGUACUGCUGGCUUGAUCUCAAAGUUGUUAGCUUGAAUAACAGGUCUCAAAAUCCCCGGACUUGUGCCUUCUAUUGAUGGCAUGGCAUAGCCUCUCAUGGUGCGAAUAGGUUGAGCACCUCUAGCACCAUUAUUGUUCUCGCCUCCUUCAGGAAGAUUAUUUUGAUGCUCCGUCAUGUUGAGUUGACAGUCUGUUCUUCUUCAUGAAUGAAAAGUUAAUUCAAGUUCCAAAUUAGAUUCUGCUAUUGGCUCCUCAGAAUUUCUAAUCAUACACUAGCAAAACUUGAAGAAUAAAAGAAAUAUAUUAAAAAUAUCAAAUUAACAGUUAAUAACAAUAUAAUAAUUCCUGAAUAAAUCUUUCGUAUCUGGCAACAACAUCAAAAACUUGAUUCAUCCUAGACAAUACUAGUAAGUGUACUAGUCGUAUCAAUAAUAUAAAUAUAAGAAUCCGAAUAUUGUCCCACGAAAACCAAAUUUUAUAAAUCAAUUAUUAUACUAAAAACUGUUAUUUGACAAAUAAUGAUUGAAUGAAAGUGAAUUAAAAUAAAAUAUAGAACUAAAUAAAAUUACAGAAAAUUUAAUAACCACAGUAAAUUAAAGAUGAAUUAAUCAGUAACAAUCCCCCUAAACUUGCUUAGAUAUCAAUAUUGAUAAUGAAAUUUGAGUUAAGAUUGCGGGUUAAUUCUAUAGUUUAGUUAACUUUAUUUAGCGACAUAACCUUUCAUAUUUAAAUGAAACUUUAAUUCGGACACUUUUAUAUAAAUUUGCAUAUAAUUAACCCAAUUAUCCGACCUUUUUUAGGCACAUGAAUAUAUGCCACAGGUCAAUUUUAGAGUAUCUAUUCGAACAAAUCUGUUAUUAAAUCUGUUAUGUAUAACCCUAAUAAUUAUGCAUUAAAAUCCCAUCAAUUGAAAACUCUAACUUCUCUAUUCGACACAUCAUUAAGGAAUUCAAUCAACAAAAUAUACAAACAUUAAAUUCAAUGAUUUUAUAUAAAAUUAACUCAUAUCAUUAAUGAAAAUCAAUACCCAUCAUAAUUUAGCGUUUAUGUUUUCCCUAACAAAAGAAAUCUAUUCCAUAAUUAAAUCGAGAAAAUAAAAACUAAAACUAAAAGAAAAUAUGGUAAAACAAAAUCAAAAUCGGGAUUGUGUCUUCUUCUUGAGCUUAAUUUCCUCUCCAAUGGAGUUUUGAGUCUUUCAGGAAGAAGAAGAAGAAGAAAAACUCUAACUUAGAACAAUCGCUGAAUUAAGAGAGUAUUUCAAAAUACUAAUAAUAUAUUCUAUAUAUAUAUUAAAGUAAAUAACAAAAUUUCCUAAAUACAAAUCUCAUGUGAAAUAGGAAAGAGAAUAAGACAUCCUAAGCAAUUUAGGAAACCUAAAAAUUAUGUCUUUCUCGUAUAACCAUCUGCAUGACCAUGCACCAGCCAAUGCAGAUUUCUGUCUUAAAAAUUCUAUCUAGAGAGAGACUCUAGGAUUGAUGUGCAUCGCCACCUACAUGAACAUGCAUCUGCCAGUAUAUGCCUUUUAUGCCUUCAUCAAAAACUUUCUAAACUCUCUCAAAAUCACCUAAAAUUCAUAAAAUAAACUAAAAUGAUUAAAUAAAUUAAAUUUAAAUGAAAAAAAUAAUGAAAAUUACUCAAAAAUAACAAGAAAUUAAAGCAAAAACAAUUCUGAUUGUGUAUAAAAUACACCAUUAUCAUUGGCCAAGUAAGGAUGAGACAUUUAAGGAGAAGAGUGCUAAAGUAAAGUCGCAUGACAUUGAAGGUAACUCUAGGAUACCUUCUAAUCCGAAACAUAGCACCAUCAAAUACUUUAGGUGUUUAGGUUCAAGACACAUUACUUAUAAUGCCGUAACUCAAGAAUCAUGUUGGUAAACGAUAAUGGUGAUAUUGAGAGUGGUAGUGAAGGUGACAGUGCCGAUAACAUGCCACCAUUGGAGGAUGUUGAGGAAGACGUUGAAUACCUAGUUUAGAGAGAAACUGUAGUUGUUUGAAAAAUACUGAAUGUUCAAGUCAACUAAGAAAGCAACCAAAGAGAGAAUAUAUUACAAACUUAUUGCCUUGUGAAUGGGAAGGUUAUAAUCUUAUUAUAGAUGAAGGGAGCUACACCAAUGUUGUCAAUACUACCUUGAUUGAUAAACUUGGACCUACACGAAAAAUUCUAAUCCUUAUAUAUUACAGUGGUUGAAUAAAUAUGGGGAGGUAAAGAUGACUAAGCAAGUACUGGUGUUUUUCUCUAUUGGGCAAUACAUUUAUGAAAUCCGUUGUGAUGUGCUCAUGUACGCCAGUCACAUCUUACUGGGAAGACUUUGUCAAUAUAACAAAUGUGUAGGCUAUAAGAAUUGUUAUUCUUUUAGUAUGAAUGACAAGAAUUUAAUUCCUGCACUGCUAUCAUCAAAGAAGGUACUCAAAGGUUAAUAGAAGAUCAAGAUUUCUCGAGUCAAAGUCAAGAGGAGGGGGAAAAAAGUGUUUGUUAACUAACCUUAAUCUUUUUUUAUCCAACAAUGUUGUUUUGCAGGACUUCAAGGGUAUUCCCAAUAAGGUAGGGUUGAUAAAGCUCUUACAUGAGAAAGUUCUUGAUUCAAUGACGAAUUCUUUCAAAAAAUGGGGAAAUGAUGUGAUCCUAAACAUGCAUGGAGAAGAGUCCCACCCAAGAGGGAUAUUCUCUCCCAUGAGAGUUUCUCUCAAGCCAAUCUCUCUUGGUGGAGUGCGGCAAUAUGAAUCCUAAAUUAGCUAAGAUUUGUCACAAGGGAGCUCUAAGAAGAUCACAACUCUUUAUUUUAGAGUUUUGAUUGGAUUUCUUCUUCGUCAAUUAAUACUUUAAAGAGUUAGAAUCAAAGGAAAGAGCAAAGGAAGAGGAGUCUUUAUUUUAGCUAAAAAUCUUCCUUGAUUUUCUCAUGGAGAAAAGUUUAUUUUCUACUUCAAGUUAGCAACUUUUUAAGCCAUCUUAAACACAACUUCUUCAUCAAAAAUUAAUUAAUUAUUGAAGUUCAAAUUCGAUUAGGGAGUAAGAAUUCGACCACAAUAAGGAAUCCUAUUCAAGAGAGAAGAAUUUUAUUUUCUUUAUGUUUAUGUUUCUUUAAUUUAAUUUUUUAAUUAGAAUUUUAGAUAAGAAUGUAUUUAGAAUUUUUCUAAAAUUUAGUUUUCGAUUUCUACUCAGACUAGUAAAGUUUGUCCUUAUAUAAAGAUUUUAUUCCUUUGGUUGUAAACACAUCAAGUCAAAUCAAUAAAAUAUAAAUCAUUGCUCAAUAGUUUUUAGAUAUUGUAAGUGCUGUUUGAGAGGGUUUUUUAACCAUCUUGUUGAGUGGAGAAUUGGUUCUACUUAUUGAAGUAAUCUCUAAUGUUUUAUCUAUUCUUAUUACUUAUCCCAAUUGUCUUAGUUCUCAAUCAUGGAUUGAUUGUGGGUUAAGUAAGAAGAAUUCGUUUAGGAAUUAAGUUUGUGUUAACUUAUAUGUUUGAGUUUUUGAUCUCAUUGAUUGAUUUUGGAUUCCGCAUCAGUAGUCUAUCUAAUAACUAAGUUAAGGUAUUUUAUUUGUAGGUACUAAAAUACAACAAAAUUGCAAAUAUGGAAAACUUAUAAAAUAGGAAAAUAAAUUAAAUAGAAAUAAAUUAAAAAGUAUUUCUUUUUCCUUCUAUUGUAAAUAAAGAAAACCUAAAAUAGGAAAAUAAGUUAAGUAAAAGGAAUUAGAAAAAUAUAAAAUCUUCCUAUUUUCUUUUAUUGUACAACUUUUGGAAACUUUAUUUUUACUAUUGAAGGACAUUAAAAUUUCCUAUUCUUUGUAGUGUAAAAGAGCAACUUAAAAUUUCUUAUUCCGUUUAUGUAAAAGUUUCCAAAAUGAUUGUUCUCCUUUGUUGGUUCUGCAUCAAUACCUUAAUACUCAGAGGAUUAAACUUUCAAAGUACAAAUAUUAUUUGAAUCCAAAUUCAAAAUAAAGUUAAUAGAUUUUAAAUCAUUAAAUUAGAGUACCUACAUUUUGUAAAAUCUUGAGGACUAAGAUAUUUUGGCGCGAGCAAGGGGAAGGGAGGGGGCAACUCACACUAAGAUCCCAUGAAGAUGAUUACAAGCAAAUGGCUAAAAGAGUCCUACCAAUCAUUGACUCUCAAGUAUUUCACAUGAGUGAGUCAUUUAUUCUUGUUGAGAGAGUCAUAAUUGAUCACUCAUCUCUUUUAAAGCACGUUAAUCAUAUGAAUAAUAAGAGUCUUAAAGAUUUAAGAUACUUGAUUAUUCAUUUUUCCACAAUUGAACACAAUUCUUCUCAUGAAUGGUUUUCAACUUCAAGUAAAUCUCAUAAGGAUUCAAGGAUCCUUGUUCUACCAAGUAAUGUCAGGUUUCAAGAGAUUUACAUCAUGAAAAAUGAGUCUUCAUCAAUGUAGAGUUCUCGUCAAAACAAGAGAAGAAGAAUCUUAUUAUUACAAGUCGUGGCUGGGAUUGCACUCUUCUUCAUCUCAUGGUAGAAAAUCCUAGAUUUUCUCGUACAUAUUCUAUUAGCUUUUUCUUAGAUUUUCUCCUAUAUUUCUUUUUGGACUUUUUCUUAGAUCUUCUAUUGGAUUUUUUUUAGAUUUUCUCUUAAAUUUUCUUUUAGAUUUUUUUUCGAAUUUUUCUUCCAAUAUUUUAAUAAAAUAUUUUUAAUUAAAUAUAAAUUUCUAAUUAAAUUAAAUUAAAAUUUUUAAAUAAUAAUUGUAACAUCUAUAUAAAUGAAUAUGUUUGUUAUUAAUAAAGUUAAGUUAGAAUAUUAUUUUAAAUUAUAGGAUUAGAUCUCUCUCUAACAAGGUUCAAGGUAAUAGCUCCCUUUAAUGAGUUGUAUUUUACUUUUACAAAAUAAGUUGCUAAAGAAAUCGCAGUAAGGAAAAUAACAUAUUCUGCAACCGGAAAUUCUAGAGAACUGCCUAAUGACAAGAUCCUAUUUUCAGGAACAUAACAAAUUGUUAUUGAGUCUAACACAAUGGAUGAUUUUGCAAUAAAAGAAGAUAUGCGAUUGAUCCUUCAGAAAGUUUUGUCUGCAAACGAAGCACGGACCACAAAGAUUGAAAGAUGAUUCGUCAGUUAGUUGUAAGAGUUAUCCUCGCAAUUCAAAGAGAUAAUGACUAACUUUAAUUGUGACAAAUGAACAGAAUCAGAAAGAACUGUACGCAGCAACUGCCACGGGGAACAGCCACCUGAAGCACUUCACAUCAUAAGUCAAUCGUGGGAUGCAAAUAACCUCUAGGUAAUGGAAUCGUUCUCUACUACACUAAGUUAGACUUUCUAAUGUCCGAUGGUUCUAAAAAUCUUCUAAUAUGGUUGCAUCAGUGUGAGAAAUUUACCAAUCAAAACAUGUCGAAAUGCUUGCAUUGGUGUGAGAAAUUUUUUAUCAACCAAUACACGCCAGAAAGAGAUAAGGUGGUAUUAACGGCCUUUCAUUUGCUUGGAGAGGCACAGUUAUGGUACCACUAGUUAAAAUCUGAACAACCUAUGCUCAAGUAGACUAAAUUCAAAGGCUAUUAUUCUCUGAGGUUUAGGUCACCAAUAGGAAGUAAUCCAUUAGGGGAAUUGGUAAACUUGAAAUUGACGGAAUCAGUUGCAAACUAUCAGAGGUAGUUCCAAGAAAAACUGAGAAGAGUAAACAAGUUCGUUCAGGUUGAUUAACAUGUAGGUUUGUUUACAACAUGAUUGAUUGAUUCUCUUGGUAUAAAGGUCGAGAUGCAAUUACCUACCAUUAUUAUGCACACAAUGAAAUUAGUUAAGGGUUUUUGAAAGGAAACUACAGUUGUAAGUUAUGACUGAAUACAAUUAUAGUGACUUCUCUUAGUUCGUACCCAAAUCUAACAAUUCAGUUCAGAAAAUACCAACUCCACAGGGCAUCAACGUGACGACACAAUCUAAUAAUGCUUCCUCUCCAUUUAUAAAAAAACUAACAAGCGCAGAGAUGACAGAAAAGAGGCUGAAAGGGUUGUUGUAUUAUAAUUGCGAUGAACCGUUUGUUCAGGAUCAACAAUGUAAAUAGUUGUUAUGCUGUGAAAUUGAACGCGACAUUGAUUUUGAGAAUAAGAAAAGACCGACAAGGCAAAUUAUCCGCAUUUCAAGCUUGAGGACAAGCUUAAAGAUCGGGGGGAGUAAUAUUAUGGACGCAUUUAUAGCGUCUAAAUAAGAUGUUGAAGUUCAAUUAAAUACGGAAUCCUAAUUGGUAUUAGAUUUCUAUUAAUAAACAUAGAAUUCUAAUUAGUAUUAAAUUUCUAAAUGACAUGAUUUCCCAUUGAUAUUGGAUUCUUAAAUAGUAUAGGAUUUUCAAUAUUUUAAUGGAGUAUUUUAAUUAGAUUUAGAUUUGUAAUUAAAUUAAAAUUGUUAAAUAAGAAUUAUAAUAUUUAUACAAAGGGGUAUGUUUGCUAUUAGUUAAGACAAGUCAUUAUAUUAUUUUAAAACUAUGAGAUUGGAGCUCUCUUUAACAAGAUCUAUAGUAGUAACUCUCUUUAAUGAGAUUUAAUCUAUUUUAACAAAACAAGUUGUUUAAGGAAUUGCAGUAAGGAAAAGAAGCAGAUUCUGAAACAGAAAUUUCAAAGAACUGUCUAAUGAUAAGAUCCUGAUUUCAAAACAUAACAUAUACUUAUAUAGGUUUGACAUCAGAAAGUUGGCUGGAAAAGUUAGAAAAACAAUUCUAAACCUAAUGCCAUAAAACUGAUCUUUUAUCUUUAUUUUUGUGGCCACCAUAUUAAAAUAUUAUGAUAAUGAGUUCUAAAUUAGUUUUGGAAAUUUAUCUUCAUUGUUGCAGGCCUAUAUGUAAUACCAUAGGAAACCUUAAUUUUUUUAUUUAUUAUAAAAUAACACCCUUAAUAAAUAUAGACUUGGUACCUAUGAAUAACUAUAAUAGUAAUGAUUUUCUUUUUGGGAACCAGGUAUCUCAAGCUCAAAUAUCCUAACUCUACCCUUGAAGGAAAGGUAAGAUGGAGAAUCUGAUAUAACAAAGACAUGUAAACAGGCGGGAAAAUAAAAAUGGAUUUGUGUAAUUCAGUUAGAAACUGUAAAGUCAGUUGAGAUGUUGGGUAUAAUAUCUCUAACUGUAGCUGUGUCUCAAUAAGAAUUCUUCUCUCAUUCUCUCUCAAUAUGAUGUUUUCUUUGUAAUGCCCAGAACUUGUCCGUGUUAGCUCUAGUCCAUGCCUCAUUUCAGGGAACCUGAACUGGCUCUACUUCAUGAUAAUUAUAUUUUAUCAAUACCUAAUUCCAUCCAUUAUUUCUCUGUUAUCCAUCUUUUUUGCUCUGUGAGAGUCCCCACUCAUAUCAGUUAGUUCUAAUACUGUUUUUUCUGUCAGAAGUGCCAGGUAAUGGUCUUAUAGGCUUGUAGCUCUUUAAUUUCAUGUCCUUUGACAACUUGAGGUAAUUACAUUUUGGUCUCCUCAUGCAACCAUUACAAACUCCUAGAGAAUUACAGCCAGAUAUGUACCCUCACUUCAUGGAAAGAGAAAAAUCAAAGACUUUCAUCUCCAAGUCAAUUUUGGGAUUAAUAUAUGAUAAAGCAACACAAUAUCAGAUGGAGGAUCCAUCAAACAAAGGUAUAGCAGAAAUGUGCAUGUUAUGGCAACUAAAGAAUAGUGAAACAAUUUAUUUUGAGUUUCAUAAUUUUGUUUAGGAACCACAAGGCAAAUCACAUUUUUAUUUGCGUUCUUCUUAAUUAGAUAUAUGAUCCUGCUAUACUCUUGAACUAACUUAAAUGUCUAUUUUUUCACUAGGAACUGUAUGGAGCUGCAGAAUUUGAACAGAGAAUGCGGUGUCUGGAGGAGAUUUAUAAUGAGGCCUUGGCAAUAUACCACUCAGCAUAUGUCAGGCAAAAAAAGAAAGAAAUGUGGGAAGAUGCAGUUUUGCAUGGAACGUGGCAGGUGCAGCCCUGUGCAACCUCGAUGCAUGAAAACAGGGUGAGAGGCCCUUGUUGUGUUUACCUUGGGUUUUGAAGGAGGGUUUUGGUUGAAUAAACUCCAAAUCUAGUGUAUGAUGUAUUAUACUUCAACAUUGAAGCCAUGUGGUGCAUGUUGGCAUGUUGAUAUCAACUAUAUAAACCUUGUUGUAUGGUAACGUGUAAAUAUAUUAACAUAUAUAUAAUUUAACGAUUGGAGCACUUAUUUCUUGAUGAACGUCAUAGUUAGCACUAUGGCUGAUUUCUAGAGGGGCCUAUUAAUAGGCUAGUGGGCUAAUAUUUAUUUUGUUGAAUAGGAUCCAAGUGGCUUGAACUUCUUUUUAGAAACCCUCUUUUCUUUUAUUUUGUAUUAUCACAUGCAAUGAUAAAUUUUUUUCAAAAAAAAAAUAAAAAGGAAUUAGUAGUGUUUACACGUAGUUGAUUGACGGGUUCUAUGCUAACGUGGAGGUGACGAUGAUUGCUUGGAUGGAUAUUCUAGAGGUGUGAAGAAUGAUUCUCAAAUGUCAUGUCGCAUUCCUGUACUGUACUUGUCGGACUGGACAUUUUCCUUUUUUUUUUUUUUUUAUUGGGAAUUGUAUUGUAACUUUAUUUCUUGAUAGAGAUGGAAAGGAAUUGGCAAUUUGCUAAAACCGUGUGGAGACUGUUGUAGAUUUUAAUUGAAAUCAAACUGGAUUGGGAUAAGUCGUAACAAAAUUUUUGAAUCUGUCAUGAAACGAAUUUGGAUUUAUAUAGUAAAAACUCACUUGAAUCUCGACUUCUUAAUUGUUUAUUAAUUAAAAAAAAAAAAAAAAAAAAGAUACGUUAAAACACACAUUCUACCUCUCUUUGACAAAGAUGUCUCCUUCAUCUUCUUCUAUCUUCGUCGUUGUACUCCAACUGUCCAAUGAUGAUUAGAGGCUUCCCAAUUGCAAGCUAUCACCUCUUUCGUGGCUUUACACUCUAACAUCACUUAACAGUAAACUUGCACGUUUAUGAACUCACUCUGUGAUGCGAUCAUACCUGAGGAAAAACAUGGUAACAAGCAGGAGACCUAUGUGACAACAGAAGGGCAAAAACCAACAUACAAUAUUGUUCUUUCAGGACACAUUAUGAAGUAUGCUCGAACGGAAAAUGAUUAUGAAGAAUCUACCCAGAACUAGGACCACAAAAAGAGUAAAACAGGACUUAUGAAGGAAUUAAGCCGAUAAGGGCAACGAUCUAGAAGAAGAAGAAAUAAGAGGCGACUCGAGACGAGAAAGUUAUUGGGUCUCAUAGCCAAGGAGAAGCUCGGCCCAAGGAUUCUGCCCCAAGAGAAAGGCCUAAACACAAUUUGGGUAUGAGUACCCAUCAGAUACACGUGUGGGUGUACACAAGUGCGGGCAAUAUAACCCACACAUGCGGGAAGAUCACUCAUGCAAGAGAGCUCGCGGAACAUGCGAGAGAGUCGUGCCCCCGCACAGUAAAAGCGUAUGCGCGCACAUAAGCUAGAUGCAUGCUGGUGGAGGCGCAUGUGCAAGGAGGCCAGUCGCACGCCCAAGGAGCGCGCUCGGUGAGCCAGCCCUGCGCUAGGACACAAAUGUGCAAGUGGUCCUUACCGCACGCGCGCCAGGUCCACACACACGCACGAACCUUCUACAUGCACCCAACGCCGACCCCCUGCAGGUGCAUGCGCCAGACAGCGCGGACAACCUGUACGCAGGCCAUGAGUCCUAUUUGGACUCUUUCUUCCUUUCUUUUUUGCCAUCCAACUCGAACACAGCAUACCCUUGGAAUUCUACACCAAAUUGGAUACAAAGAUAAGCUUAAAACACCAAGGAAGAUCAGCCAAUGAAGAAGAAUUGUACUUAAAUUAAGUUAGUUUUAUUUUAUUAUUUUAUUUGAAUUUUUAAAUUAUAAUUUUUUAUUUAAUUAAUUUUCAGCAGGG